rnacentral:rRNA from 1 species
CCUACGGGGGUCAGCAGUGAGGAAUAUUGGACAAUGGACGAGAGUCUGAACCAGCCACGUCGCGUGAAGGAUGACUGCCCUAUGGGUUGUAAACUUCUUUUAUAUGGGAAUAAAACGUUCCACGUGAGGGUUAUUGUAUGUACCAUAUGAAUAAGGAUCGGCUAACUCCGUGCCAGCAGCCGCGGUAAUACGGAGGCACCGAGCGUUAUCCGGAUUUAUUGGGUUUAAAGGGAGCGUAGGUGGAUUGUUAAGUCAGUUGUGAAAGUUUGCGGCUCAACCGUAGAAUUGCAGUUGAAACUGGGAGUCUUGAGUACAGUAGAGGUGGGCGGAAUUCGUGGUGUAGCGGUGAAAUGCUUAGAUAUCACGAAGAACUCCGAUGGCGAAGGCAGUUCACUGGACUGCAACUGACACUGAGGCUCGAAAGUGUGGGUAGCAAACAGGAUUAGAUACCCUUGUAGUC